GUCUUCUUGUAAUAUUUAGGAAGUCUGACCUGCCCAGUGAAAAUUAAAUUUAACGGCCGCGGUAUUCUGACCGUGCAAAGGUAGCAUAAUCAUUAGUCUUUUAAUAGAGGGCUGGAAUGAAGGGUUUGACGAGGUGUUGACUGUCUCAUUUAAUUUGAAUUUAGAAUUUAACUUUUUAGUCAAAAGGCUGAAAUAGUAUUGGAAGACGAGAAGACCCUAUAGAGCUUUAUAAUAUUUUUAUUAAUAAAUUUUGGUAAAUGAUUAUUUAUUAUUAUAAUCUAUUAUUUUGUUGGGGUGACAAAAAUAUAUAAUGAACUUUUUUAUUUAUUUAACAUUGAUUUAUGAUUAUUAGAUCCAAUUUUAUUGAUUAUUAGAACAAGUUACCUUAGGGAUAACAGCGUAAUCUUCUUUCAGAGUUCAUAUUUACAAGAAGGCUUGCGACCUCGAUGUUGGAUUAAGAUGAUAAUUAGGUGUAGCUGCUUAAUGUAUAGGUCUGUUCGACCUUUAAAUUCUU
rnacentral:rRNA from 1 species